GGGGAUAUGGCGGAAUUGGCAGACGCGCUAGAUUCAGAUUCUAGUGGGGCAACUUCGUGCAGGUUCAAGUCCUGUUAUCCCCACCA
rnacentral:tRNA from 1 species